rnacentral:lncRNA from 1 species
UUUUAAAAAAAUUAAUAAUUUUAUUUUAAAGUUUAUAAAUUAUACAAUUUUGAUUCAGUUAAAUAUAAGUUUUGACAAUUUUGGACCUCGUAUUUUGUCCCCCUAAAAAAGUAGUAAUUUAUCUUAAAUUCUAUAAUUUUGACCCCGCUGUAAUAUAUAAUUUUGACAAUUUUAAUUUCGCUGGAUAAUAUAAAUUUUAAUAAUUUUGACCCCAUCAAACUUACUCCCCCCCUAGUAGUGCAGUAGUGAAUCAUAACAAUAAGAUAAUCAAAAAGAUCGUAGUCCAUGACCCGGUCCAGUCCAUAGGCUUUGACCCAGAACAGUAUGAGUUGGGUCUGAGUUCUAAGUUUAAAGUCUGUGAUUGGCCACCGUUCGGCCCGUGACAAAGUCCGAAGGUCCGGCUCAUAGCCAACUCGAAGGCAUUAUUUUUUUAUAUUUUAUAUAUAAAUAUCAAUAUCUACGGAUAAAUUUUAUGUAAUUACGUAUUAUUUUGCAUCUUUGAUAUUUUUAGUCUUUUAAUUUAAAAUAAAAUAUAUUUAAAAAAAAUAUUAUUUAAAGGCCUGUAAGCCCAGGCUCGGCCUGGUCUAUAAGUUCAAGUCCCGUGAGCUGGGUUUAAGUCUCAUCUUUCAAGCUCGGCGCCCAACCCAUUAACUAGUCAAAACCCAUCAAACCUGGCCCAAAUUCGGCCCAACCCGAUUAAAAUGGACCUAGACCGACCCAUUCUAUUGACGACCCUUAAUCGACAAGAAAAAUUAUUCAACUACUCAUAAACAUAGGCUUAAGGUAGUGUGUAACUGUGUGUUGGUUUUGAAUAUUUUGGUCUGUACUUAGCUAGAGGGUAUUUGUAAUGGUUUGUACUUAGCUAAAAGUAUCAAAAUAAUAUUUAUUUAUUUUUGUAAUUUUUAAAAUUAACCUUGACUCAUAAACAAAAAUAAAAACAGUGAAAAAAAAAGAAAUUGAAACUAAUAAACAGCAAUAAACAUGCAUUGAAUCUUAUGAAAUUAUGCAAACUGUUGUUUUUGAAAAUCAUGAAUGAGACAAGACAAUGACAAGUGUAUAUAUACACUGAAGUCUUAUCAAGAUACCGAUUUAAAGAUAAAUUAGUAUAAUUAGGAGCCAAGACAAUGGCGGAAAGAAUGCUGACCCUUUCAAAGAUCUGUCAUGUUUGGAUUUUUGAAUCUUGGAAGUGUGUGAACAAUAAAGAGAAUGGUUGGGACACGUCCUCUUAAUACCAUCUCACACGGUUGGAGCCAAUUUUUUCCUCAUUUCUCCAUUUUUGAUUGAAAAAGGGACAAAAACACUUUAGGUCAUCCAAUGGUUUUCUCUCAUUCCUCUAUUUUUUCUCUAUUUUUUUGAAUUUGGAGGAAUGGUGGUGUUUGAUCUCCAAUAGUUUUCCCAUUUUUCUUCCCAUUUUUGGUAGUUUUGGUCUCCAAUGGUAUUCCCCCAUUUUUUUGAAUUUUGAAAAAAAAAAAUAGUUUUGGUCUUCAUUGUAAUUCCCACAUUUCCCCAUUCCCUUCCCCCAUUCUUUAUUUCUCUUUUCUUCUCCAUUUCUUAAUUUGAGAUGAGUAUUUCUUUUUAAAUUUUUGAUUAAUAAAUGAAUUUCAACAACAAAUUUUUUAUAUGUGAUUGUUGAAAAUAAUGAAUAAUUAUUUUUUUAAAAGAAUAUAGCAUAAACAAAUAAAUUAACUUAAAAUAUUUAAGCUUAUAAUAAAAUUAUUACAUAAAAACAAGAUUUAAUAAACAUUGCACAUUAAACAAUAUAAAUAAAACAAAAAUAAUCUCAUUACAAAUCCGACCCAUUUAUGAUCUACCACCCGUACUAUUUAUUUUUUAUAUAUAAACAAUUAAUGAAUAAAAUCAAAUAAAGCAAAUAAAAAAAUUUUAUAUAUAUAAAAAAAAUAAAUAAAUAGUCAUAAAAUCCACCAUGUCAUAAAUUAUAUAUUAUAAUAAAUACUUAAUAUUUAUCUUUUAAUAAUAUUUUUUUAUUUCAUAGUCCAGACUAAUUCUAAAAAAAAUACUCCUCUCCAUUUCUUCUCCAUUCCCUCCCCCCAUUUUUUUUCUCCCCCAAAUUGGGGGAAAAAUGGGGGAAUGGGGGAAGAAUGGGAAUGGUUGGAGAUGAAAAUUUUUUCUCCAUUUUUGUCACCAAAUUUAGGAAGAAAUGGGGGAAUGGAGAAAUGGAGGAAAAAUAGGGGAAUGGUUAGAGUGAAAAAUUUUUCCCAUUUAUUGGGGGAAAAAAUGGGGGAAUGGUGGAAUGGAAUCACAAAAAAAAAUGAAGAUUGUUUGUCGCUGCCCCCCUCCCCCACUUGGCUCCCCCCUGGGUGUGCCUGGGGGCCCCUUGCUGCUGUUCUCCCUCUCUCCCCUGCUGCCUUGGAGCGUAUAUAGUUUGUAACAUUUUAAGUUAAGCUUUCUACCUCAAAAAUAUAGCAAAAACUACAGUUGUAGGUUAUGUUAAAAAUAUCCAAUAGGCGAGAAGCAGCGACAGAAGUGUGAGCGAAAAAGAUAAGAAGGACAGUUAUAGGAAGUUGUGUGUGAGAUUGAUCAAAAAAGCGCGGGCCGGGAAGGAACGCAAGCGCUCGAGAGAGACGGAACCACCCGAGCGCGAAGGGAAGGAACGCAUCUCGCGAGAUAUAAGGAAACCACCCGAUCGCUAAGAACCACCCGCGCGCAACCCGCUCCGCGAAACUGGCUGUGGCCAACACAGAGCGCAGCCCGGGGCGCGGGGGCGCCAAGGGGACGCUGAGAGAAAUGAUGACGCUAAGAGAAAUGGUUAUAGGGUGUUCGGCUCACAGCUCCACCAUGAAAACGAUACUGAUGGGAGAAGUUGGCGAUGUGGACGAAAACGAUGACUAUGACGAGUUUAAGAAGAAAACGUGAAAAAAAUAACGUUGAGAUAUUUCUCGACUUAACCCAAAUCACGCGAUUCAAUACAUAACCCUACCUAAUUUGUUAAAUCAAAUACUAAAUUUGGUAUGAUAACUUUUUCAUAACUUAAUAUUUUAUAAACAAACCAUUGUUUUGACUAUGAUAAGUUUAUCAUAACAAACUUAUUAUGAACUAGUCAAUGGUUUUACCUAUGAUAAAUAUAUCAUAGUAAAAUAAUUUUUAUAAAUUAAACACUGAUUUGUUUAUAAUAAAGUUAUCAUAACAAAAAUAUUUUAUAAACAAUAUACUUCAAUUUUUGUGAAAUGAUCUAGAUUAUCUAAAAAUUAUCAUAACAAAAAUUUUAAUUAUUGUAAAAUAGUUUCAGAUUAUAAUAAUAAUAUUUAAAAACAUAUGUAUUAAUUAUUUGUAAUAUAUAACCCUAUUUAAAAAUGAUUAUUAAUAUAAAAUUGAAUUUGAAAAGAAAAAAGAAUAGAAAAUGUAUCAUAUAAUAUUAAUAUUCUAAACAUAUGCAUUAACUACGUAAUAUAUAUAGAAAAUAAAAAAAGAUAAUUUUUGUCCAUUACAUUAUAAAUGUGUUUCUAGUGUAUAAAACAAAUGAUUAGUAUAAAAUGGUGAGUCUAGUAAAGAAAAACGUUGCCAAUAAGUGAUGUGGGAUAAAAUAUUCACCUAUAAUACAGUACCUCCCCCCUCGCCCCAAGGGAGAAUGGAUAUCCGCCAGACAUCAAUCCUAUGAAGUCCCCAUCUCCGCCGCUUAGAGCCAAAACUUCUCCGAACCCUACGACCGAGGUAAAACGAAUCCAACUUCAGCAUGGAACCUCGCCAAGCUCCCUACUGAGCUCGCCAGAGCCAUUAUCAGGGUAUUCCCCAUUGAUCUACCCCAAAGUGGUCUCCCUCCUGCUCUUGGGCGAGGUAGAUUAACUUUCCUGAUCAAUCUCCAUCAAACCUAAUUAUACAUGGAAACUAUCUACUAUUGCAGAUCCUUCUCCAUCACGACACCAACAAUUACGGGAGACCCUCCAGAUGACAAUUCUCCCUAAUUAAUCUCCUACAUCUCCGGGAUAUCUUCCCAUACUUAUCCUUCCGAGGAUCCCGAUUCUCUUAAACACCGUCCCCUUAUUCCGUUAUAAAAAGGCCGCUCCCCCAUCGUUUCAAAGGUAUGUUCAAUAAACGUCUCAACAUACUAUAUAACUCUCCUCUGAGCUAUUUUUACCUGCUGUCAAUCGCCUUGGUCUGAUUCCGCCACACGGAGGGGUUUUGAGCGGCCUCGCCCCGACUUUUAAUUUCUGUUCGUCUGUGCAGGUCCCAGCUCCUUAAUUCCCGAGGUCCAUUACCGAGGAGACGACCUUUGACUGUUGGUUGCUCGCCCCAGUUUUUUUUACACAACAGUUGGGCGCCGUCUGUGGGAUCGAAAUUUCUCUAUGGCACCUGCGCAGCCGCAAGCUACCCAGACCAAGUGCCAGUAGCCCCCCGGUAACAGAUCCCAUCCUAUGGCCACCCAGCCAAGUUCCAGAUCUAUAAGGCCUCCACCCAUGAGAUCCACUUAUGGCUGAGCAGAUGGGGAUAAUGAAAACGAGAUAAUGGUCAGCCUAAUGCAACUCCUCGCUGCUGCCUAACCCCCCACUUUCCGCAGCACCACCCUCCCUGAUAUCGAGCGAUCUCGCCACUCGAAUCCUUCAGGAGAUGUUCUCGAAAUUCAGUGCCGAUCAAUAGGGUGGGGGAGACCGCAAGCACCAAGCUCGUCCUUAGUGAAAAAGAGUCCUCGGAAUCUAGUAAAACUCAACCAUGGUCUCGAGAAGGGGGAGGAGUCCCUCAUAGAGACGAUCGGAUCAGGGCACAAACACAUCAAUCCCACCUCGCAAAAGUGUCGAGACUUGGACGCACGGCUCGACCGCAAUCAACACUGUAACAAGUUCCCAGUUAACUGUGGACACACUAAUUAAACAGACAGAACCGCCGUUUCACAGAGAGAUAUUGAGGGCUCGGAUUUCAUCGAAGUUCAAUCUCCCGCCCGCUUCGGUAUUUUAUGAAGGAAACAGAUCCAAUGGACCACCUGGACUCCGUACAAGACCUAAUGUUCGCUCAGGGUUGCUCGGCAUGAGAUUAUGUGCAAAGCUGUCUCCGCCACUUGAAAGGAACUCGCCAGGUGCAUGUUCGAAAACUGUCGCCGAGGAACCAUUGAUUUUUUGGCGAUCCAGUCGACCUCGCCGCCAAUUUUCAUGAUCUGCAAAAUCGCCAAAGAAUGCUUCUCAACCUUUUCACCAUUCAUCAAAAAGAAACGAGAUCUUGAAAGAUUUCGUGAAACGAUUCCAAACUAAGCUAUUUUUAGAAGUCGAGGAUCCCAGCGAUGAAAGUAAUACAUGGCAUUAUGGAAGGACUCCGACCUGGCCCUCUGUUCGAACUCCCUUUCCAAAAACGUUCCCUGAAAACUUUAUCCUACUCCAGAGCAAAAGCCGACGAGUAUAUCUCCGUAGAGGAGUGUGGCCGAGGCCAAACGAAGGCGGCGAGAAAAGGUGCUUCUAAGAGGAAAGAGCCUGAUACGAGGCGGGCUGUUAUAGGGAAGAAACAAGGUAUAAGAGACCUGACCGAGAACCCAACGGUCCAUAGAUCGCGUCCUCGAACUCCUCCUCGCCGCCUAGUUACUCGAAAAACCGCCACCAACGCCCCUGUUGCCCCAAUUACUCUCGUAAAAUUAAAGCACAGAAGAGUUCGUCAAAUGGCCAGGGAAUAUCAAGACUGACCCCCAGAAGAGGAACAAGAACAAAUAUUUGUGAAUUCCACACCGGGACCACGGACACCAUACUGAGGACUGUUUCAACUGAAGGAAUAGAUUGUCGACCUCUUAAGAGGCGGAUACCUGAGGAAGUCGUACUGCUCGCCCACCAACCAAACCCCUAGAAGAAGGUACGUCGAUAACAACCAACUGCGGGGUGAUAUCAACAUCCCUGGAGGUUUGGAUCGGGCGUUUAUUCGACUCAUCCAUUAAAAGGGCAUGCCAUGAAGUGCCCAUAGACGGCCGAGGAAGGAGUUUACAACCUCUCAUCAUUUGUUGCUGAUCAACACCCAUCACUUCAGCAAUGAUGAUUUGAGAGCUUACACCUACCCCAGGACGACGAUGCCUUGGUCGUCUCGUUUGUCAUCGCCCAUUUCCACGUCCAGAGGAUUUUAAUUGACACGGGGCUCGGCGAUAUCUUGUUCAUCCUCGGCGUUUCGAAAAAUAAAAAUGGGCUAUACAAGUUGCAAACCCCUUUCCAUACCCCCCUGAUCUCGUUUGGCGGAAAUACGACGCACGCCCUGGGAAUGGAUCACUUACCGCUAACUCUGGGAACUGAACCCCACCAAGACCACAUAAUGGCAAGAUUCAUUGUGUAGAUUGGUCCCCUCGCCCUAUAAUGCCCUCUUGGGGGCGACCAACUUUAGAGAAUCAAGGCGAUCACUCGACCUAUCACCUGAAGCUCAAGUUUCCCACCCCUCGGGAUAGGCAAAAUUAGGGCGAUCAGAAAAUGGCCAGGGCAAUUUGCUUUAUUAGCCAUGAGGGUCGAAAGACCUCUUCAGUUUCCACCCACCCCAAUAGCAAUUAACAGAACCUGGGCGACGACGCAGAGGUCCUCAUAGAUGAAGUAGAACAGCUCCACACCCUGGUAGAAACCCCCCGGGAAACCAAUAACCCAAGCCUCUUGAAAGAAAUUGUCCCCAUCUCCUACAUCCCGAUAAUCCUGAUCGCCAUAUAAUGAAUCGGCACAAUGAACGUACCGAUGAGCUCCAUUUCGCCUUAAUAAACUUCUUGAAAGAAACUCCGAUUAUUUGCCUGGUCACAGACGAACGUUUCCAGCAUUGAUCCUGACAUCGGCCAUGCACAAACUUGUUCACCCGACCCAAAACAUUCCUCCAGUCGCCAAAACCGCAGGACGUUCGCCCCUGAACGCCUAAAGUUCAUCGAGACUAAGUUAAUAAGCUCAUCAGAGCUAACGUCGUCAGGAAGCCCACGAUCCGGAUUGCUCGCCAAUGUCGUAAUCCGCCCCAAGAAGGAGGAAAGUGGAGAGUAUGCGUUGAUUUUACCGACUCAACAAGGCUUUUGCCCAUAAGACAGUUUUCCCUUGCCGAAAAUUACUUAAUAGUCCGACGCCACCUUCCAGCAAGCACGAGCUCCUGAAUUUUUAUGGACGCCUUUCGGGUCUCGGGAUAUCACUAAUCAAGAUGUACCCUCCUAACAUUGAGAAGACUUCUUUUAAAUCACAGAGCGGGGGUUAUACUGUUACAAGUCAGCCAUUCGGAUUGAAGAACGCUGGGGCACAUACUAGAGGUUUGUCAACAGAUGUUCAAGAAUAAAUGGGAAGACAAUGGAAAGUAUAGAUAGAUAUAUGCUUAGUUAAAAGUCUCCGAUCAUCCACCACAUCUCCCAUCUCGAAGAAGCAAUUUAGCAUCUACAUCGCCAUCGGUGAAUGUUUAAAUCCCUCCAAUGCAUCUUUGGGGGGAGUGUCGUCCGGAAUUUUUGGAUUUAUGGUCACUCUAAGCGUGGAAUCGAGGUAAACCCGGAUUAGAUCCAAGCCCUGAUCGCGAUGAGCUUGCCCAGAAAUAUCCGGGAAGUACAACAGCCUUGACUGGGCGCGUAGUCCGCCCUGAACAAUUUGUCCCUCCAAAUCUGCGGACAGUGCUUCCUCCCCUUCUUCAGAAUCCUAAGGAAAAAGCCAGCCUUUCAAUGGAACGAGGAAUCUGAAAAUGCAUUCCAACAUCUGAAAGAGUAUCUCGGGUCUCCGCCCUUACUUACAGUCCCCACCAACGGUGAAGACCGUUUAACGUAUAUUUAUCCAGCUCAGCCCAUCCGCGGGGUGCUGUUCUAAUUCGAGAAUAAGGUCAGGUCCAAGGCCAUAUCUAUAACGUUAGCAAAGUCUUGAUAGUGCAGAGUCAGAUAUCCAAAGAUUGAAAAGCCCGCUAUGCCCUAAUGUUCGCCUCCAGAAAACCUUCGUCAUUACUUCCAAGCCCAUCCCUCUCGUAAACUGCGAUCACCAUUGAAGCUAUCUUCAGCGACCAGACCACAUCAGGUCGACUCCUUAAAUGGUCCCGAUCUAAGUGAAUUCCACAUUGUAAACAAGCCCAGAACGCAAUAAAAAAUCCCAAGCCCUGGCUGAUUUCAUUGUCGAAUCACCCAUGAAGACACUCACAACUGAACUGCCCCUCAUGAAGUAGUAAUUCCUGAAGAACCAACCCCAUAAAAGACCCGCCACUAGAAUGUUGUUCGUUUAUGGCCUUCUAACCAGCAACGGCUGCGGUGCAGGGCUCGUCGUAUGAGCUCCAUCAGCGACAGAUGGGUACGCCAUAAGAAAAUGGGUUUAAAGCCACUAACGAAUGAAGGCCGAGUAUCAAUCCCUCCCUCGCCGGACUAGAGUAGCGACAGAUUGGGAGCCCAAUCUUUAGAAGUCUUUAGUGACUCACAACUGGUGGUAAACCAAGCCAAAGGAGAUUACCACCCUACCCUCGCCCAAGGAUUCAAGAAUGAAGCUUAUUUGGGCAGAUAAAGGCUGUGUCCCGCCAAAGACAAGGAGUUUUAAGAAUCCCCAGAUUCCCUAAGAAGAUAUAAAAGGCAGAUGCCUUGAGCUAAGUCUGGCGUCACUUUUUGAAGUUUAUUUUCUGACCAGGUGCAUACAUUAGAAUUUCUCAGCUACCCAAUCAACUGGGGUCGCCAAUCAAUUCCUCUAAAACGGAAGAAAAUCCACGUGGUGGGACAAAUUUAUUGCCUAUCUCUCCAAAAAGGGAUCCUGCCGAAAGAUAUCUUCAAGCUCUCCGCCUUCCCAUACAGAUCCGCAAGUUUCUGCAAUGUUUUAAUGGUGUGCUAUAACAGAGGUCCUUUCAGACCACUCUUGAAAUGUCUCCUGACCAGAAGAGGCAGAGUACGUUCUACGAGAAAUACACGAAGGCACAUAUGCGGGAAAUCACUCCGAGCAAGGUCAUUGGCGAAGAAAACUAUUCGCCAAUGAUAUUUUUGGCCGACAUAGAACUAGAUGCUGCAGCGUAAAUAUAAAGAAGAUGCGACAAAAAUGCCUAGAGGUUUUGCCCCCCGUCACCGUCUCAACCUCACACCGGAUGCUACCGAUGUCCAGCCCUGGCCAUUCGCCCAGUAGGGGAUAGACAUUCUGGGUCGCCCUACCACCGCAAGCUCCUUGUGCAAAGAGAUUUUUAAUCGUCCGCCAUAAGAUUAUUUUAACUAAAUGGAUAGAAGCUCAACCUCCUCGCCAAGAUCUUAAAAAAUACCGCGGGAACCUUCGUAUGGAAGCACCUUGUUUGAGAUUCGAGUCCCAAAGGUUAUCAUCUCGGACAACGCAAAAGGCAGUUCAACAACGAUAGGUGUCAGAUUUUCUGCUCGGAUCCGCCUCCUCCCAUCAUUUCUCCUCGUCCUCCGGUCAUCCUCAAGCUAUUGCAAGUUGAAGUAACCAUCGUACCAAUCUCAGGAAUUUUGAAGGCAAGGUUAGAAAGGUCAAAAAGCUAGUGGGGCGGAAACUUGCCGAGCAUACUUUGGGCCUUAUCAUACUACUAACCGAAUUCCUACGGGUGAAACUCAUAUUCUAUGGUCUUGCGGCACUGAAUAGUCAUACAGUGGACAAUAGGCAUGCCGAGCUUCAGGAUUUUGAAUUUCGACAAGAAGCAAUGAGGCCGAGCUCAGACUCACUCAGCCUGGAACCUCCUUGGAAAAAAAGGAGAACGCGACCUUACUUCAAAUGGCUUACAAAUGCCAAGCGCCAGUACUUAAUCAAAGGGUCGACACCGUCAUUCCUUUCGUGCGACCUAGUCUUGCGGAAAUAACUCUAUGCGACUAAAGAACCAAUUCGGGGAAGCUAGUCCCAACGUGGGAAUGUCCUUACAAGUCUCAAUCUCCCGACCAGGGACUUACUGUUGAGAAACCUAAACGAAAAGCACUUUUACAUCCCUGGAAUGCCGAGCAUUAAAAAAAUAUAUCAUAAAUGCGUCACUUUAAAAAAUGGAAAUUACUGUCGAUUCGCUUUGGUUUUAUCUCAUUUUAUACAACUAGAUUGCUACCCGCCAUGUUACGUCACCAUAUUUAUGAUCGCCAAUCCGUUACAGGAUAACGUCUUUGACGCCUAUAUCUAUGUCGCCACAAUUAAGAUCGUCGUUUCCAUUAAAAAGAUAGAGGCGUCUUGUCAUCGUUAUUUCUGCCCCCAAAAUCAAGGAAUACGCCAUCGUGCCUAACGCUAGCGCCUGAUCCGCCUAACAAAUGUCGCCAAAAUCGAGAUUCGCCACUUCCGUUAACAAUGGUAAUUUUGAAUCCCAUGAAACUUAUCGCCUCACAAGCGUUCACCCUAGAAGGAUGAGAAUUGAAGUUACUUUACAAAAUAAAACAGAACUAAAGAACCUCGGGCCAAAGCAAUAACGUCAAUGGAUGAUUUCAUUCAUAACUAAGAAAACCUGAUUACAUUUGUUUUGAGCCUCGCUAAGCGAUGCCAAAAAAAAAAUUAUACAUCAGGAACAACUCCUGUACAGGAUUUUUCUCCUUCUUUCAUCGCCUCUUCUUCCUCGGCAAAAACUUGGUCCAUUGCCAUUCGCCACGUUAACAACACCACGUUGGGGAAUUGAUGGAGAAGCUGACUCUUGCAGAACUCAAAUCCCCACUGAAGUAUGUUUUGCAGCAGAAUCUGAACCGCCCCGCCCUUGAAUUCCCCCGAGGCUUUGAAGUCUCGAUGGCUAGCUCCUUGGCCUUCGCCAGUUUAUUUGUGAGUUCCCGCCACGGUGGCCUUCAAGAUCAUCCCCUCAGUGCAGCUUUAUCCCCAAGCCUUCCUCUCUAAGGCUCGACCAACCCGUUUCCACCUUAACAGCUCGCGUUUGAGCCUUUAAAAACCAAUUCAAGCUCGGUGGAAUCUGCGCGAGGCCAUAUGGAAGUCUAUGUCGUGGAGAUGCUCUUGGCUACGGAGGCAAUAGAAGUAGGGGCGAAUACGACCACCUGCCAAAAUCACAAUCUCAGUAUUUGUAAAAGAAACAACGCCAAGAUUUUCACAAAUUACUUGACCCAAGGCAUGAAAGAUUGGCGACCAAUUCCAUUCUCGAUAAUUGAUCAACCUCUUUUCUUGUUGGAAGCCAGAAUCACCUCCAGUGAGCAACCUCCGAGCCACAGAAGCAUCCGACAUCAUAGAUUCGGAUCCUAUAUCACCACCAGGGGAAGAGGUCCCUGCCUCAACAACACACAAGCAACGCCCCGGGCAUUGAUCGCCCCUCCGGGUGGAUUUUUGAAUCUUUUAGGCGGCGGGGGCGGCGCGACUUUCCUUUCCCUUCGAAGAGUCCGGCUCCCUUUUUUGAUUACGUGGUCGCCUUCCCCGCGGACGUUUUUUCCCGAUAACGACUCCUUUGGUGGGAGGCCUUGGCUGUCUUCGCCUUCCAUAGCCUUCCUCGGCCUUGCCUUACCUCUUUGUUUUUUUCACCCAAGGCGGGGCACCAACUCAAGGCCGACAUAGCUGCACAUGGGAUAUGGUUUCAGAUGAGAAGAAAACAAUAAUAACUGGUUUCAAGAAUAUACCAUCAGAUCGGAGCUCGGGGGGCAGCUCGGAAUCCGAAAUAGAACAUCCUCCGACCUGAAUUCGACUGGAGCCGGACUUCCAGAUAGGAAAUUCGUAAACGAGUCCUUUAACCUUCCCACCUUAACCUUCCCCCCCGAGCCACCUUAGAAGGGUUUUAUCGGGAUACCUGCAGGUCUUCAUCCUAAUCGCCCCCGCCCCUCCGAUAUCCCGUCCAAUGACUGCCCAUGUAUUCACCGAAUCUCGCGAGAUCGAACUCACCCUCAAUCACCCCGAGGUCGUGUUGUCUCCCCACUAGAAGAAACACGCCGUGCAACGACCGCAACAUGUUUCUUACAUUUUUCGCGAACCAAAAAGAACCUUCGAAACUAUCUUCGAAGUAGCCUCCGGGCUUCUAUCUUCCCGAAUAUUCGUCCCGUCCUCUUGGCGUCAACCUCAGAACAGAGCCGCAACUUGUUGCAAGCUCUUUUUCCUUUCUGAAAAUCCGCAUGUCAGUUGUCGACUAUAAUGCUCACAACAAUCGUAACAAAUAAGAACUAACCUGGGCGUUCCCCAGUCUGGGGACUCUGGAGUAUAUCGCCGGCGCCAUGGCCCGGGAGGAACUCCCACAGUCCCCCCCGAGGCAAAAAAGAACCUCGUCUUCCCACUCCCUUUACAUUGUGCUCGGAGAUCCCGAGCAAGUUUCUUCUUUCUUCUCGGGCCUCUCCUUGACUUAGUACCACCCCCGAAUCAGGUAAGGACUGAAGGGAGUAUAAGCAAACCCUAUUCCGUCACAGGACAUGUACCGUUUGCAGUGACUCCAAUCACCGCGAACGAUGACUGAUCGCCAUGCGUUGGGAGAUAACUGUGGCAGGGCAAAUCGUGUAAUGGAAUCAAAAUUUUCCUUAUGGUCGGAUGUGGGAUAAAUAUUCAUCCUAUUAAUUUCAAGUAUCCUCGACCCAGGGAGACAAUGGACAAUCGCCAGACAUCAAUCCUAUGAAGUCCCUCUCCGUCAUAGAAUGCCAAACGUUUCUCCGAACCCUCCUGACGCGAGGUAAAACGAAUCCAACAUUCAGCAUGUAAACCUCGCCAAGCUCCCUACUGAGCUCGCCAGAGCCAUUUCAGGGUAAUUCCCCAGUUGAUCUACAACAAAGUGGUCUCCUCCUUGCUCUUGGCGAGGUAGAUUACUUGCCUGAUCAAUCUCCAUCAGAAUUCCUAUUAUACAUGGAAACUAUCCAUUGCGAGAUCUUCUCCAUCACGACACAAAAUUACGGGAUACCCUCAAUUUGGACAUCUCACCAAUUAAAUCUCCUACAUCUCCGGGAUAUCUUCCCAUACUUUAUCCUUCUGAGGAUCCCGCCGUGACCAUGAACACGCCCAUUAUUCCGUCUAUAAAAAGGCCGCUCCCCCAUCGUUCAAAGGUAUGUUCAAUUACGCUCAACAUACUAAUACUCUCCUCUGAGCUAUUUUACCUGCUGUUCAUCGCAUUGAUCUGUCGCCACGCCGGAGGGGUUUUGAGCGGCUUCGCCCGGUCGUGUAUUUCGUUUCGUCUGUGUAGGGCGCCCUUAAAGUACCCGAGGUCCAGUACCGAGGAGACUGAGCAAUAUUGACUGUUGGUUGCUCGCCCCAGUUUUUUACCACAACAAUAAGUAUUUUCAAAUCUAAAAUUCAUAUUUAAAUAACCUUAAAGAAAAAGAUAAAAUACAAAGUAAGAAACAUUAAAAGAAAUGAUUUUUUUUUUAUUUAGUAGGUUAGGAAAACACGAAGAAAACGGAGGCAAAUAUGUCGAACAAAAAAAAGAUUAGUUACCAUAUAUCGUAUGGCAAGAAUCAGUUUUGCUUAAAUAUUCUAUUUUUGACACGUAUCGCGUGGGCAUCCGCCGCUUGUUAAUAUAAUUAUAAUCCAUCUGUCUCAGUUUAUUUUUUUAUUUUUUUUACUAUUUUGAACAUCUCAAAAAAUCGUUUAUAUUUUUUAAAUAUAUUAUUGUUGAUAAUUUUAAAAUUUUGUAUGCAAGAACUAAUUAAUAUAUUUUGAUUGGUGUAAAAGAAUUUUAAAAAAUAUUUAUAAUAUAUUAUUUAUUUAUCUAAUUAAAUGACACAAAUACUAAAAAAUAACAAAUAAAUAGGAAUAGAGGGAUUACAUGAAAGCAGAAAAAUUAUCAAUAUUAUUUCUAACUUUAUCCAUAUUUUCUUCUAACUUUAUCCCUUUUUGAAGAGUAAUUACAUAAAAGCAUAAAAAUUAUUCAUUCUAUAAUAUAAGACACAAAUAUCUUUGAAUUUUUUAAAUUAUCUUCCACUAUUUAUGGUUGAAAUUCAUGUGAGUUAAUUCAAUAACUGAGAUUUUAUGAGACUAUUUUUUCUCAAAAAAAAAAUUUAUUUCCUUCUUCUCAAAGUUUUGGGACCCACAUAUGUUGUGAUCCAAUAACCAAAAAAUCUCUAAAAUUAGGCAUAUUUUUUACGUAUUGGAUCAUUUUUUUCGUAAAAUUCAAAAAAACAAAUAAACUAAAACACUCAUUUCUUUUCCUUCAUUUCUCCCAAACUAAUAAUAUUUUUUUAAAUUAUUAUAUUUUUUAAUUUGUUCUUUAUUUUGUAACAAUGUAUUUCUUAUAUAACGUUUAUAUCUUAUCUGAUUUUUAGAUUGUAAAAACUUUAAUGAGUAAGGCUAAAAUGUGAUUUAUUUUUUAACGUAGUGUCUGUGAACACAGUAUCAACUAUCAAGCUUAACUAGGUUAUUUUUCUAUGUUAAAACAGGGCGCACACACGGUAAAUUCGAGUUAUUAAAUUAAACUCGAUUUAUAAACUAUUUGGAUUCCGCAGUACGGGCCGUGGGUGGCGGGGGAUAGGAGGGGGAUAAGUUUAAGGGGGGAUAAAUUUUAGAGGAGGGAUAACUUUGGGAGGAGGGCUACCUUUUCAUUUUGUUUGAACUUUUUAGAAUGGAGGUGGAUAAGGGUGGGGAUAAGGAGAGAAUAAUAUUAUAGAGAGAAACAACAUAUAAAAUAUUUAGAUAUUAAAAAAAAUAUAUUUUAUUUCUUAUAUAUAUAUAUAAAUAAAAAUAUACAUUUUGUUUCUCUUCAUAUAUUUUUUUCUUAUCCUCACCCACUUAUCCCCCAGGAUAACUUUUAGUUAGGGUCUAGGCCACCCAAAAAAAAUUAUCGACUUUAUCCACCUCUGGUGAUGGGAGAAAAAUUAUCCGGGGGCAUCACGGUCUCGAGGGCAUAAAAUUAUCCGCCUCGUAUCCGCCAGCCAAAGUCCAAACGAUUGCGUGAGGAAAAAAAUUACCGGUGAGAAUGAAAAAGUUAUCCCCACCAACCCUAUCCACCAGCCAACGGACCCCUAAAGGCCUAUAAAAACCACCGUCUCGCUUCUCGCAGUACCAUCACGCAGAAAAGAAGAAGAAAAAAGUAAAUCUAGAGAGAGAGAGAGAAGAGCGAAGAGGAGAGGAGAGAGAGAUGGGUGGUUGGGCAAUAGCGUGCACGAGGCGCUGGUACUGUGGACCCAAACAUCCCAGUGGAGCGUCAAGAAGAAGCCAAAACAACUCCUUACUCGUGCCUCAACAUCGGCAUCUUCUGCCUCUUCGCUCAUCCUCCCUGCCAUCGAUCGUGGUUGAACUCGUUGUACGCCCU